rnacentral:rRNA from 1 species
UACGGAGGGUGCAAACGUUGCUCGGAAUCAUUGGGCGUAAAGCGCACGUAGGCGGCCUCAUAAGUCGGAUGUGAAAUCCCUCGGCUCAACCGAGGACGUGCAUACGAAACUGCGAGGCUCGAGUAUGGAAGAGGGUCGCGGAAUUCCCGGUGUAGAGGUGAAAUUCGUAGAUAUCGGGAGGAACACCAGUGGCGAAGGCGGCGACCUGGGCCAAUAUUGACGCUGAGGUGCGAAAGCGUGGGGAGCAAACAGGG